rnacentral:rRNA from 1 species
UACGUAGGGGGCAAGCGUUGUCCGGAAUCAUUGGGCGUAAAGCGCGUGUAGGCGGCCCGAUAAGUCCGCUGUGAAAGUCCAGGGCUCAACCCUGGAAUGCCGGUGGAUACUGUCGGGCUCGAGUCCGGAAGAGGCGAGUGGAAUUCCUGGUGUAGCGGUGAAAUGCGCAGAUAUCAGGAAGAACACCCGUGGCGAAGGCGGUUCUCUGGAACGCAACUGACGCUGAGACGCGAAAGCGUGGGGAGCAAACAGG